rnacentral:rRNA from 1 species
CCUACGGGAGGCAGCAGCUAAGAAUAUUCCGCAAUGGACGAAAGUCUGACGGAGCGACGCCGCGUGGAUGAUGAAGGCUGGAAGGUUGUAAAGUCCUUUUAUCUGUGAAGAAGAAGAUUAAGAGGGAAUGCUUAAUUGGUGACGGUAGCGGAUGAAUAAGCACCGGCUAAUUACGUGCCAGCAGCCGCGGUAACACGUAAGGUGCAAGCGUUGUUCGGAAUUAUUGGGCGUAAAGGGCAUGCAGGCGGUCGUGCAAGCCCGGCGUGAAAGACGGGGGCUCAACUCCCGAAGUGCGCUGGGAACUGCAGGGCUUGAGUUUCUGAAGGGCAGCCGGAAUUCCACGUGUAGGGGUGAAAUCUGUAGAUAUGUGGAAGAACACCAAUGGCGAAGGCAGGCUGCCGGCAGAAGACU